AGUGUGUUGGCCGAGAUUAGGUUUUAAUUUCUUAAAUUAAAUACGCGUAUUUAGGU
rnacentral:tRNA from 1 species